UCCAAACGCCUCCUUAUUUGGUUCCAAAAACAUCCUAACGCGACCAGAAAAUAAAGAAACCCUAAGAGAAAAAAAUUUAAAAAUCUUCUGCUGCUUCGUUUCAAACAUCAAUUUAAUUUCAACUUUUUCUUGCAAUGGCGUCCAAGAAGAAGGAAUCAGAGGGUAUCUCCCUUCUCUCCAUGUACGGUGAGGAUGAAGAUGACGAUAUGGAUAGCGACAAGGAUAGUAAUAAUAAUGACAAUAAUACCCUUGAAUUAUUAGAUAACAAUGAAGAAACCAAAUUCGGUGCCGAUGAAGCUGUCAAUAUGGAAGUAGAUAAUGAUAACGAAGAUGAUGAUGAUGAUUUAAAUUGUGCCAAUCAUGACACUGGGGUUGAUUCUGCUAAUGAUAUCGGGGUGUCACCGUGUCUUCCUCCUGUAGCUCAGAAAGUGACUGGUGCAGACCCGAGUAAAACCCGAAAAGGGACUCUGACGAUUGUAGAUUAUGGGCAUGAUGAAGCUGCAUUGUCACCUGAAGCAGAGGAUGGGGAGAUCAUUGUAACAGGUCGUGUAAUGUUUGGCGCAGAGCUCGAAACAAUUAAUGGAACACCGCCUGGGACAGUACAAGUAUUGACACCAAGCACACAAUUAUCUCCUCAAUCAUCUGAACAUGUUGAUCAAUCACAAUCCGAGGCAAUGAAAUAUAAAGAAAAUGAGCCAGAGCCCGAAGAAGUAGCAAAUAUUUCUGAAGAUGGGAUGAAGGAAAUGGAUCCUUUGGAUAAGUUUCUCCCUCCGCCACCAAAUACAAAGUGCUCUGAUGAAUUGCAAGAAAAGAUUAUUAAGUUUCUCUUGCUGAAGAAGAAAACCGGUAGAAGCUAUAAUUCGGAAGUACGCAAUAGGAAAGAAUAUCGCAACCCGGACUUCUUGUUACAUGCCGUGACUUAUCAGGACAUUGAUCAGAUAGGAUCUUGUUUCAGUAAAGAUGUUUUUGAUCCCCAUGGUUAUGACAAAAGUGACUAUUAUGAUGAGAUAGAGGCUGAUCUGAAGCGGGAAUUGGAGAGAAAAGAACAAGAGAAAAAGAAAAAUCAAAAGAUAGAUUUUCUUUCUGGUGGGACACAACCCACAGUUUCUAUUCCAACGUCAAAAAUGAUGCCUAUGCCACCUGUCGCAUCCAUAGCUGGUGGUGGAUCAAAUUCUGUUUCAGCUGCUGCUGAUACUGGGACUCGGGAAGGUCGACCAAAUAAAAAAUCCAAAUGGGAUAAGGUAGAUGGGAACAGAAGACAUCCUCUUACCACUAGUGGACAGGAUUCUGUAUCUAGUGUUGGGUCGAAUGCAGCACUCUUAUCUUCUUCUAAUGCUGGGAGUGGUUACACAGCCUUCGCGCAACAAAGACGAAGAGAGGCAGAGGAAAGGAAAUCAAGUGACAGGAAAUUGGAUAGAAGAUCAUAAAUGAUUUGCAUUUCCUUCAUUCCUUUGAGAGAGAUGUAUAAAGAGAGCGAGAGGGAGAUGAAGUAUAAAGAUGACUUUUUUUUUCAGGACUUGUCAGAUUUUUGUAGAUGAAUUCAUAUCUCAAAUUUUUGUAUGGAAUCAACUUUAGCUUGUGUUAAUUUGGCACCGGAGUCCACUAAAAGGCAAUAGCUGUGCACUACGAAGGGCAGCAGAAUCAACUUGAUGCAGAGCACGAUACGGUUCGCGUGAAGCUCUUACCUUUAUCACAUUAUUCAAAUAUCCAAUAUAGUUGGUUUUAACUUUCAUCCAACAGAAUCCAGACUUAGAGCUUUGUUUGAACACUGAAUCGAAAAUUGCGCAUGAUCAAUUAUUUGUGGGUUUCACCUAAUAAACCCUGUUCUCCAUCAAGAUAUGUUUACGUUUAUAACUUUGUGUCUCGUGUGGCUUGUUACAGGACGUGUCGAUUGUAGAUGGAUUCAUAUCAUUAUUUUUUGUAUGAAAUAAACUUUAGAUUGUCUUCA